CCCGACUUCAUCCAGGAACCCCUCAGAAGACUCCACUGACAUUAGGUAGCCAGCUUUCAGCUUGUUCCUGUCCAGUAAAAGGAAGACUAAGAACCUUACAAGAAAAAGUAUCAACUCCAUUAAAAUGGCAGAAAAUAAACAACUGGGCUGCGCUUAAGGAAAUACAUUUUCUCAAAUAAAUUAGAAUUUGAAACCGAUUUUUCUUCAGUAA